GAUGAACGCUAGCUACAGGCUUAACACAUGCAAGUCGAGGGGAAACGACAUCGAAAGCUUGCUUUUGAUGGGCGUCGACCGGCGCACGGGUGAGUAACGCGUAUCCAACCUGCCCACCACUUGGGAUAACCUUGCGAAAGUAAGACUAAUACCCAAUGAUAUCUCUAGAAGACAUCUGAAAGAGAUUAAAGAUUUAUCGGUGAUGGAUGGGGAUGCGUCUGAUUAGCUUGUUGGCGGGGUAACGGCCCACCAAGGCAACGAUCAGUAGGGGUUCUGAGAGGAAGGUCCCCCACAUUGGAACUGAGACACGGUCCAAACUCCUACGGGAGGCAGCAGUGAGGAAUAUUGGUCAAUGGACGAGAGUCUGAACCAGCCAAGUAGCGUGCAGGAAGACGGCCCUAUGGGUUGUAAACUGCUUUUAUAAGGGAAUAAAGUGAGUCUCGUGAGACUUUUUGCAUGUACCUUAUGAAUAAGGACCGGCUAAUUCCGUGCCAGCAGCCGCGGUAAUACGGAAGGUCCGGGCGUUAUCCGGAUUUAUUGGGUUUAAAGGGAGCGUAGGCCGGAGAUUAAGCGUGUUGUGAAAUGUAGAUGCUCAACAUCUGAACUGCAGCGCGAACUGGUUUCCUUGAGUACGCACAAAGUGGGCGGAAUUCGUGGUGUAGCGGUGAAAUGCUUAGAUAUCACGAAGAACUCCGAUUGCGAAGGCAGCUCACUGGAGCGCAACUGACGCUGAAGCUCGAAAGUGCGGGUAUCAAACGGGAUUAGAUACCCUGGUAGUCCGCACGGUAAACGAUAAAUGGCCGCUGUUGUCUGAAUAGGUCAGCGGCCAAGCGAAAGCAUAA
rnacentral:rRNA from 1 species